UUUUGAGUUGCCUUUUUAUUUUCUCCCCCCCGGAGCUCUCAAGGUAGGCGCGCACCUUGCUGGCCGGCUCUGGAGGCGAGGAGGAAGUGCCUUUUGGUAGUCUGUUGCCUUUUGCUGUAAUGCCAGAUCCAGGUCUUCAGAGCUCCUGGGGCCAGUGAAGGAGAAAGGGCAGUCUGAAGUGUGACAGCAUUCAACAGAACCUCAUCAAAUGCUUUUAGAGACCUUUACUAAGAACUGUUGUUGUACGUGAAAAUUGAAUAUUACCUGCUGCAAAACUUCACUGUUGUUUGAAACUUGGCCUUCCCAUUCCCCUCAUCUUCAUUUAAUAAUGAAAACGAAGUGUUAAAUUUAAAUACUGCUACCUUUUAUGAUUUUACAAGAUGAAUGUAUACCACAACAAGCUACUAAUUAUCUCCUGGUUAUAAGCAAAGAGAAAACAAGAAGUAAAGGAAAAAGAAGGACCUCUGAGUUGAAAUAUGCCAGAUGGAUGUAGAACAGGUUUAUGUGGGUUUUCUGCUAGAAUAUGAGUUCUGGUUUUUGUCUUAAGUCACUGUUAAAAAAAA
rnacentral:lncRNA from 1 species